rnacentral:rRNA from 1 species
AUUGAACGCUGGCGGCAGGCCUAACACAUGCAAGUCGAGCGGAUGAAGGGAGCUUGCUCCUGGAUUCAGCGGCGGACGGGUGAGUAAUGCCUAGGAAUCUGCCUGGUAGUGGGGGAUAACGUCCGGAAACGGGCGCUAAUACCGCAUACGUCCUGAGGGAGAAAGUGGGGGAUCUUCGGACCUCACGCUAUCAGAUGAGCCUAGGUCGGAUUAGCUAGUUGGUGGGGUAAAGGCCUACCAAGGCGACGAUCCGUAACUGGUCUGAGAGGAUGAUCAGUCACACUGGAACUGAGACACGGUCCAGACUCCUACGGGAGGCAGCAGUGGGGAAUAUUGGACGAUGGGCGAAAGCCUGAUCCAGCCAUGCCGCGUGUGUGAAGAAGGUCUACGGAUUGUAAAGCACUUUAAGUUGGGAGGAAGAGCAGUAAGGUAAUACCUGGCUGUUUUGACGUUACCAACAGAAUAAGCACCGGCUAACUUCGUG